ACAAUGAUUAUGAAAAGGAAUUGUCUAGUGCUGGAAGAUCUCAUCUUGUUUGUCAUGCAAUAGAAAGAGUAUGUUUGAGCAACUUAACUACUGAAAUAUAUUUUUUCCUAAUUCCGUUUCUCGCUUUGUUUUACCUUCUGUACGUUUUUUGGUGAUCUUAAACUUGAUCUGAAAUAUAUUUUUCCUAAUUCCGUUUCUCGCUUUGUUUUACCUUCCGUACGUUUUUUGGUUAUCUUAAACUUGAUACAAUUCAAUCAAAAUUAUCUAACACCUAAAAAUAUAUAUUUUGUAUUCGCAGAUGAAAGAAGUAGUCAGAAAUUAUAAUGUCGAGUCAACAUGGUUUAUUGAAG
rnacentral:lncRNA from 1 species